rnacentral:tRNA from 1 species
AGUUGAUGAGCUUGAAUAAGCUUAUAUUUUGAAAAUAUAGGAUAGAAAUUACUUCUAUCAACUU